GUUAUAUGGUCAAGCGAAUAAGCGCACACGGUGGAUGCCUUGGCGGUCAGAGGCGAUGAAGGACGUGGCAGCCUGCGAAAAGUAUCGGGGAGCUGGCAACAAGCUUUGAUCCGGUAAUGUCCGAAUGGGGAAACCCACCCGCUUGCGGGUAUCCUGCAGUGAAUACAUAGCUGCUGGAAGCGAACCUGGUGAACUGAAAUAUCUAAGUAACCAGAGGAAAAGAAAUCAACCGAGAUUCCGUAAGUAGCGACGAGCGAACGCGGACUAGCCCUUAAGCUGAUUUGGUUCUAGGAAAACGCUCUGGAAAGAGCGGCCAUAGAAGGUGAUAGCCCUGUAUCUGAAAGGGCCAUUUCAGUGAAGACGAGUAGGGCGGGGCACGUGAAACCCUGUCUGAACAUGGGGGGACCAUCCUCCAAGGCUAAAUACUACUGACCGACCGAUAGUGAACCAGUACCGUGAGGGAAAGGCGAAAAGAACCCCGGAGAGGGGAGUGAAAUAGAUCCUGAAACCGUGUGCGUACAAGCAGUAGGAGCUCCGCAAGGAGUGACUGCGUACCUUUUGUAUAAUGGGUCAGCGACUUACUGUUCGUGGCAAGCUUAACCGUAUAGGGGAGGCGAAGGGAAACCGAGUCUGAUAAGGGCGCAUAGUCGCGGGCAGUAGACCCGAAACCGGGUGAUCUAGUCAUGGCCAGGGUGAAGGUGCCGUAACAGGUACUGGAGGCCCGAACCCACGUCUGUUGCAAAAGACGGGGAUGAGCUGUGAUUAGGAGUGAAAAGCUAAUCGAACCCGGAGAUAGCUGGUUCUCCUCGAAAGCUAUUUAGGUAGCGCCUCAUAUGUAUCCUCUCGGGGGUAGAGCACUGUUAUGGCUAGGGGGUCAUCGCGACUUACCAAACCAUUGCAAACUCCGAAUACCGAGACGGACUGUAUGGGAGACACACGGCGGGUGCUAACGUCCGUCGUGAAAAGGGAAACAACCCAGACCCACAGCUAAGGUCCCAAAUUCACUGCUAAGUGGAAAACCAUGUGGAAAGGCACAGACAGCCAGGAGGUUGGCUUAGAAGCAGCCACCCUUUAAAGAAAGCGUAAUAGCUCACUGGUCGAGUCGGUCUGCGGGGAAGAUUUAACGGGGCUAAGCAGUGAACCGAAGCUUGGGGUGCAUAACUUUGUUAUGCGCGGUAGAGGAGCGUUCCGUAAGCCGUUGAAGGUGGAUUGAGAAGUCUGCUGGAGGUAUCGGAAGUGCGAAUGCUGACAUGAGUAACGAUAAUGCGGGUGAAAAACCCGCACGCCGAAAGCCCAAGGUUUCCUUGCGCAACGUUAAUCGGCGCAGGGUGAGUCGGCCCCUAAGGCGAGGACGAAAGUCGUAGUCGAUGGGAAGCAGGUUAAUAUUCCUGCACCUCGCGUAAGUGCGAUGGAGGGACGGAGAAGGUUAGGUGUACCAGGCGUUGGUUGUCCUGGGGAAAGGCGGUAGGUUUGGAUCUUUGGCAAAUCCGGGAUCCUUUAAGACCGAGCACCGAGACGAGCCUUUAUGGCGAAGUCACUGAUACCACGCUUCCAGGAAAAGCUCCUAAGCUUCAGCUUACGCAGACCGUACCGUAAACCGACACAGGUGGGUAGGAUGAGAAUUCUCAGGCGCUUGAGAGAACUCGGGUGAAGGAACUAGGCAACAUGGCACCGUAACUUCGGGAGAAGGUGCACCCUUUUUGGUGGCUCGUGCGAGCUAUAGCUGAAGAGGGUCGCAGUAACCAGGCCGCUGCGACUGUUUAUCAAAAACACAGCACUCUGCAAACACGAAAGUGGACGUAUAGGGUGUGACGCCUGCCCGGUGCUGGAAGGUUAAUUGAUGGGGUCAGCCGCAAGGCGAAGCUCUUGAUCGAAGCCCCAGUAAACGGCGGCCGUAACUAUAACGGUCCUAAGGUAGCGAAAUUCCUUGUCGGGUAAGUUCCGACCUGCACGAAUGGCGUAACGACAGCGGCGCUGUCUCCACCCGAGACUCAGUGAAAUUGAAAUCGCUGUGAAGAUGCAGCGUUCCCGUGGCAAGACGGAAAGACCCCGUGAACCUUUACUAUAGCUUUACACUGAACGUUGAGUUCGUCUGUGUAGGAUAGGUGGGAGGCUAUGAAACUGUGGCGCUAGCUGCAGUGGAGCCAUCCUUGAAAUACCACCCUGUCGUGCUUGACGUUCUAACCUGGGCCCAUUAUCUGGGUCGGGGACCGUGUAUGGUGGGUAGUUUGACUGGGGCGGUCUCCUCCUAAAGAGUAACGGAGGAGCUCGAAGGUACGCUCAGCGCGGUCGGACAUCGCGCACUGUGUGCAAAGGCAUAAGCGUGCUUGACUGCAAGAUCGACGGAUCAAGCAGGUAGGAAACUAGGACUUAGUGAUCCGGUGGUUCUGUAUGGAAGGGCCAUCGCUCAACGGAUAAAAGGUACUCCGGGGAUAACAGGCUGAUACCGCCCAAGAGUUCAUAUCGACGGCGGUGUUUGGCACCUCGAUGUCGGCUCAUCACAUCCUGGGGCUGUAGUCGGUCCCAAGGGUAUGGCUGUUCGCCAUUUAAAGUGGUACGCGAGCUGGGUUCAGAACGUCGUGAGACAGUUCGGUCCCUAUCUGCCAUGGGCGUUGGAGAUUUGAGAGGGGCUGCUCCUAGUACGAGAGGACCGGAGUGGACGAACCUCUGGUGUUCCGGUUGUCACGCCAGUGGCAUUGCCGGGUAGCUAUGUUCGGAAGCGAUAACCGCUGAAAGCAUCUAAGCGGGAAGCGCGCCUCAAGAUGAGAUCUCCCGGGGCACAAGCCCCCUGAAGGAACCAUAUAGACUAUGUGGUUGAUAGGUCAGGUGUGUAAGUACAGCAAUGUAUUGAGCUAACUGAUACUAAUGAUCCGUGUGGCUUGACCAUAUAACCU
rnacentral:rRNA from 1 species